GCCAGUAACAUGAUGGAACUUCCUUUCAGCAUGUCCCUGCUCGUAACAGCUUUCAAGGCCUGUUAGCAACUACAGCCCUUGGCACCGCUUAACAACUUAAGUGAAUUGAACAAUUGCUAACAAUUACCUUCCCAAAACCCUAACCCAGGUCCUUACAGCUUCUAACAGUCCCUAGAAUCAGACAACUGUUAACUUAAAAAAACCUAACAGCCGUCAAAAAUUCUUUCUCAGCAUCUGGGUGACCCAACCAGAAUGAAACAUCCUGUCAACAAUAUCCUGCUGUGGCAGAAAGCGCUCUGUUACAGGUCCUUACAGCUUCUAACAGUCCCUAGAAUCAGACAACUGUUAACUUAAAAAAACCUAACAGCCGUCAAAAAUUCUUUCUCAGCAUCUGGGUGACCCAACCAGAAUGUAACAUCCUGUCAACAAUAUCCUGUUGUGGCAGAAAGCGCUCUGUUACAGGUCCUUACAGCUGCUAACAGUCCCUAGAAUCAGACAACUGUUAACAGUGUGGGCUCCAGGUACAUGUCAGUCACAGGGCCUAACAGGACCAAACAGCCUCUAACCCAGUGUCUAACUGGCUGUUAUGCCACGUUGACAACUAUCGUCAGCAGCUGAUAAUGAGCCCGGCUGACAGCUCCGCCUAAGAAGUUAGCCGCUGUUAGACCCCCUAUGAGUUGGUAGGGCCUUGGACUUCAAUGUUGUCCAGAAUGUAACAUAUACAUAAAAGUGAGCACAAGGAUGGGGACCACCUCUGGGAGCCAAGGGGGCCC
rnacentral:lncRNA from 1 species